ACGGCCAUAUCACGUCGUAGCACCAGUUCCCGUACGAUUACCGAAGUUAAGCAACGUCGAGUCUGGUCAGUACCUAGAUGGGUGAUCUCCUGGGAAUACAAAGUGCUGUAAG